rnacentral:lncRNA from 1 species
CGGGUAGAAGACUCUUCUUGCAUCUUAACCAACUCAACAUUGUGCCGUCUCUGAGCUUCAUGAUCCGUCUGCAAAAGUUUCAAGUCGAACACUUUCUCAGUGAAGUAAGAUCCUUUCAACAAUUAUAAAGUAAGAUCCUUUCAACAAUUAAACAUAUGUUCGAUGUUUACUUGAUUUUACCUGCAGUCGCUUCCUCGCCAACUCAUCUUCGUAUCGAAGGUUCUGAGCUUUUGCUUGUGCCUGCUGCUGCAGUAGAUUUCUCUGAUCCUCAGCCAAUUUCUGCUGUCUUUCCUGCCCGAUCACAUCCCCAU